CUCUUAUCCAGAGAGGCGGAGGGACUAGGCCCGAUGAAGCCCGGCAACCAACAAACCACAUUCGGUUUGGAAAGGUGCCAAUUCCUACAGAUCAUUUUUCGAUCUGACAGAUAAGAG
rnacentral:ncRNA from 2 species